GCACGCAAGAUGUAUCAGGAUGAUCUUUCAUUUUGGGUACACCUGUCCUAGACGGAUCCAACUUUUGUGUUGAGUCCCCAAAGUCAAAUGCACAUGAUGCAAACAAACGUUCCAACUAGGGAUCCGACAUGAGGUUAUGUUAUUCUAGGUUUAAACCUGGGGUUGUGUUCUAGACAUGGCUUGCCCAAGUAGACAACUCGAGCCGAGGUGGGGGUAAUGUACCGGGAGCACAAAAGUCUACCCGUCCUUGUUGCUGACCCAAACCUCGUUCUAUUUGUUAUGACUUCUAACAGAAAAGUGGGCCACGCGUACGUCUGCACCAUAUUUUUAGAAGACUCAGAAUGGAGGCGUAAGAAGACAGUUUAAUAUAGUUCAAAUAAUAUCAAAGCGGUAAAUAAGCGGCAAUUAGCACAUUAGGUCCACAAGUACAGUAAUAUCAACAAACAAUAAAGCCAAGCAUAGAUCAUAUUAACAAGCUCGAAUUCUGAAUCCUGAACCAGAAGUUCUAGGUUCUUUUCCCCAGCAAAGUCGCCAGAGCUGUCACACCUCCUUUUUACCAUCCGAGAGGGGUAUAUGGGAGUUUUUCUAAUUUAUGUGACAAUCAAAACGAGGUUAUUUAUAUUAAAUUCAGAGUCACCACUUGAGAUAAUUUAUUGUGUCCCAAGUCACCAGUUUAAAAUCCCGAAUCAAGGAAGGUUGACUCUUAUUAUGGUCUACGAACAUAGAAAUCUGGGUAAGGAAUUCUGUUAACCCGGGUGAAAAUGUUAGGCAUUCUCGGGUUCCAUGGUUUUAGUACGGUCGCUUUAAUCAUAUACCUGACUUAUUAAAUUGUUUAACUAUGUACUUUAGAACUUAUGUGCAUUAUACCCUUACCGCUCUUGGUUGAUUAUUUGUAAUUAAGAAAUUGUCUUUAAACGAACCACGUGUACGUUUACUCUUUUUGUUUGGUGCGUCAAGAAUCAUGUCAUGUGUACGUAUACACAAUUCACAACACUUAAUUAUUAAGAAUGUUUGGCCGAAGUUGCGCGAACGCAUACCUUGGUUCUAAUGUCGGAAAUCAUAAUUAUGUUACGCGAACGUAUACAUAAUCACGAUAAUUUAUUUAUAAGCGCGUCUAAAGCACUCUAACAAUGUUCAUUAUUCUUCCUAAACUUUGAGAUUAUUGAGAGGUCACACGAGUUAUGGAUAUUUGUUGGAGGCCAUGUGUUUUAACUUUUGGAAUUAACAAACUAUUAGUAUUGGAAGAAAUCAGGCCUGCGAACCUUUGUUUUUGAGUGGGCUCGACAGAAAAUAUUUCACCUGGCCCGAUUCUUUGUGAAAUCAUUUAAGCCCAUACUACAUAAUAACUUUUCAAAACCAACAAAAUUCACCAUACUAAGUAUUUGUGGAUUCAACCUCAAUAAACUAGUUGAGAUAAGUUUUAGAAAAAUCCUGCAGUCCCCUUUAACCUACAAACACGACAUUGGCCCAAUAAUUCACUAACAUCAAAGUUGUUUCAUGGCUCGUCAAUGGUCAUAUGGCCCGUUUUCUCAUCCUCUUCACUAGAUCUCCCUAAUCUCAACUAUUAUAACCUUCUUUACCCUAUGUAUUUAUUUUAAAACAAAUGCAUAACAAUAAAAUUAAAUUUCUAACACGUGACCAUAGACAAAAUUAAACAAGAAUCAACACACUACAAACUAAGCUACUUAAACAAAUAAGAAGGCAGUAAAACAAAACAAAUGGAAACAAAAGCAAAAUAUUAGUACUAACUAAACUUAUCUAAAAUAAAAUGAGAAGGCAGUAAAUAAGCAAAACAAAUAGGCAUGGAAUGUCUCUUUAAAAAUAAGAAUAAUUGCAAAAGGAAAUAAGAUUAACCUCAAUGAAGCUUCUUCGUUAUCUUAUUGAUGAAAGUUCGCGUGCGAACCAGCUAGUACAAUAAUGAAUAUUGAAUACUCAAACUAAAAGCAAGACCACGAACAGGACCAACGACAUCUAACUGAAUCAUCAACGAGAAAUUCGACUCAAAGAAAGAGAGGAUGGACGGUGCAUGUGUGAUUUUGGGAGGCAAUUUGUGACUAGUUUCAUUACAGUUUUAUGUAUUUUUGGGCAUUUUUAGCUGAAUUUCAGCUAGGUUUGAGCUCUGUUUUUUUCACUUUUUGGAGCUGGGUUUACUACAUUUUUAGCUAGAUGUUGCUGCGCUUUUAGGUGCUUUUGAGCUUGAUUUUGGGAUAAGAAUGUGCCAUGAUUAAUUGGUGAGCAAGGAAAGAAAAAAAAUGAAUGUGAAAAUAUUUGUAGAUAAGAAAGGAAAAAUGUGAGUGUGUGCGCAUGUGCGUUCAGGAUUAUUUUGA
rnacentral:lncRNA from 1 species